rnacentral:rRNA from 1 species
UACGUAGGGUGCAAGCGUUGUCCGGAAUUAUUGGGCGUAAAGAGCUCGUAGGCGGUCUGUCGCGUCUGCUGUGAAAACUCGGGGCUUAACCCCGGGCCUGCAGUCGGUACGGGCAGACUAGAGUGCGGUAGGGGAGACUGGAAUUCCUGGUGUAGCGGUGAAAUGCGCAGAUAUCAGGAGGAACACCGGUGGCGAAGGCGGGUCUCUGGGCCGUAACUGACGCUGAGGAGCGAAAGCGUGGGUAGCGAACAGG